UACAGAGGGGGCAAGCGUUGUUCGGAAUUACUGGGCGUAAAGGGCGCGUAGGUGGCCUUCUAAGUUGAACGUGAAAUCCCUCGGCUCAACUGAGGAACUGCACAGGAAACUGCUUGGCUUGAGUGCAGAAGAGGAAAGUGGAAUUCCAAGUGUAGCGGUGAAAUGCGUAGAGAUUUGGAGGAACACCAGUGGCGAAGGCGACUUUCUGGUCUGUAACUGACGCUGAGGCGCGAAAGCGUGGGGAGCGAACAGG
rnacentral:rRNA from 1 species